rnacentral:rRNA from 1 species
GACCGAGGUGCCAAGCGUUAGGCGGAAUCACUGGGCUUAAAGCGUGUGUAGGUGGAUUUGUAAGUACCUUGUGAAAUCCCAUGGCUCAACCAUGGAACUGCUCGGUAUACUGCGAAUCUUGAGCCACUUAGGGGCUACCGGAACAAAUGGUGGAGCGGUGAAAUGCGUAGAUAUCGUUUGGAACGCCAACGGUGAAAACAGACAGCUGGGAGUGUGCUGACGCUGAGACACGAAAGCCAGGGGAGCGAACGGG